GUAAGAAUUUUAUUUGGUUCAAAACAAAGCUACUGUUUUUUGUCUUCCAAGUUAAAAUGAAAGACCCGGUUUAUCAAACGCGGCCUUUCAGUACUUCGGAAACGAAGAUUUUAAAGCUGUGUGGAUUAACCCGUCGAAAUUCUAAAAAUGAAAGAAAGUGACAGUUUAUGCAAAGUCAGCCUUCCGGCUUCCCUUUAGGGAACAUUUACCUGUGACAAAAACGGCAUCACUAGACUUAUUGUGGCAAAUAUUAAAAUUUUAAUAUUUUUGGCCGUUUUUUGGCAAAAAUUCAAAUGAUAACUUGAAAUUAAAAGGAAAGAGGAGAAUCUGGUGAGAACUUCUGGGUCUAAAAAAAAUGAAGGCCCUUUCAGAAGGCAAAUGCCUCACUAUUUAUAGGCAAACCUAAGGGUGGUGAAUCAGAUUUUGGCUAUUAUUCGUAGUCCCUUAUUAUUUUCAAUUUGGUCCCUUUAUUUUUUACUUGUUAAACAAGCAAGUACCUCUAUUUUGCUAACAUCUACACUAAACUACCAUUCUAGAAGGCCCUAGGAUACUCUUUUACCAACCAAAUACCUAUACUACCCUUACCCUUACUUUGAAAUUACUAUUCCUAAUGAAAUUACCAUUUUCUAUCCCUAAAAUGCCCUUCUACUAGUCUGAAAUUUAUUGCCCAAUGCAACUUAUCCCAAUCCCUCUAAC
rnacentral:lncRNA from 1 species